rnacentral:tRNA from 1 species
GAGGGUAUAGCUCAGUGGUGGAGUGCAUGCUUAGCACACACAAGGGCCUGGGUUCAAUUCCCAGUACCUCUG